GCUAAUCUAGACCUGGAGAAGAACGAGACCUUCCCUUCUGAAAAUACACAGAAGAAAUGGCGCAGCCUCCAUGGCCAUUCUCUGAGAACAACAACCUCACCAUCCUUCAUCACCCCAAAAGUUCUCUCAUCUCACUCUCCUCUCUUGAACACCAAAAAUAAUCCGAACCCAUCUUCUUUUUCCUAGAAAAAACGAAAUUGGUGAUUCCCAUCUCUCACCUUCAUCACUGAUACACACUCACACGAAGAUGAAGGCUCACCCACUCACGAUUUGAAAAUAAAAGGCUGAAACAAAGCCGAGAAAAUUCAAAAAAAUAAAGCUCUGAAAAAUGACUGAAAAAGGGAAAACGAAAAAAAAUUAGAAUUUCGAAUCAGAUUUGGAGAAUUGAUUGAUUGCUGAAUUUUCAAAGUCCAAAUUCCUCUUGCAUGGAUCCAUAAAAAGAUGUUGAAGCUCAAAUCCGUUGUUGCUUUGUUAUUUGUUUGUUGCCGCUCUGUAUCGAAGACUGUUCCUAUUGCUUUAUUUGUUUAAGAGGUGUUUCACUGUUUGGACUUUGUUUCUGUCAAUUUGAGCAUAUGUCACUGAAGUGUUAUUUUCUUACAAAUUCCUCUUGUACCUACCUAUUUUCUAAAAGGCGUUGACGGAGGAGUUCAAUUAACAAAAGUAGUAGUAGAAGCUGAUAAGUUUGAUUGUGUUCUUUCCAUCUUAAGAAUUGUCUUUGGACAGAACAAGACGUAUGGCCUUUAAAUAUUCAAUUACAUACAUAGAAGUAAGUAGGAAAAAGGUCCUCGAAUCCAUUUUUCUUUGAACUGGACAAGCCCAUUGAUGAAGAAUAUUGAGGGACAAUGCUCACGGUAAAGCUGGAAAGAUACUUAUGCCAAAAAACAUGUACUACUAGGCAUUUGAAUGGUGCUUUAGUCUUAUUGUAGAUAUGCAAAGAACAUAUGUCUACUGCUCCAUUUUUGGUUGAAGUAAUAUAUUUCAAAAUUUUGGUCCA